CUGGCGGGCUUCAUCUACGCCUGUUAUGUUGUGAGAUGCAUAACUGAAGAAGAGGACAGCUUUGAUUUCAUAGGUGGCUUUGAUUCUUAUGGAUAUCAAGGGCCUCAGAAGACAUCCCACUUACAACUACAACCAAUGUACAUGUCAAAAUAACACAGAUGGCUUCUGUCUGUCAGCCCACGGACUCCUCAAAUGACUUGUGCAGUAGCCUCUUGCCUUUUAUGAAGCUCAAGAAGCAAAUGGAUUUAAAUACACAUUCAUGUCAUCAGACCAAACAGGAAGUUUCUACAUAGACACAUGAGUGAAAACACACACACACACACACACACACACACACACACACACCACUGUCAUUAUCAUGUACACGUCAACUACACAGGACCUCCUCUUUCUGACUGAAACUGAUAAAUAUUCUGGACACGCCAAUCCUGGAUUUCCUUAACACAGGCUCCCUUCUCCCAGGCCUUUGAAGGUGAGAAAGGAGCUGUAUGGGUGUCCUCUGCAGGGCCCUACUUAACCCUCUGCAGCCCAGCCAGUUGGUUCUGUGAGGUGCCAAGUUAACCCAGGCACACAAGCUUGGAACCCUGUUCUCUGCACUCCAUACUAUACAUCUUGAUUGCACCACAGCUACUUUAAUUGCAAAAACCAGUCAGACAGAACACGCCGUGAUGACCUUGUACCAAAUGCAAAAUGGCAGGUCGUUUGCCCUAAAGGCUACACCGUACAUAUUUGCCUUAAACCACCUGCGU
rnacentral:lncRNA from 1 species